AUUGAACGCUGGCGGCAGGCCUAACACAUGCAAGUCGAACGAGUGGCGGACGGGUGAGUAAUGUCUGGGAAACUGCCCGAUGGAGGGGGAUAACUACUGGAAACGGUAGCUAAUACCGCAUACCAUCGGAUGUGCCCAGAUGGGAUUAGCUAGUAGGUGGGGUAAUGGCUCACCUAGGCGACGACCCCUAGCUGGUCUGAGAGGAUGACCAGCAACACUGGAACUGAUACACGGUACAGACUCCGACGGGAGGCAGCAGUGGGGAAUAUUGCACAAUGGGCGCAAGCCUGAUGCAGCCAGGCCGCGUGUAUGAAGAAGGCCUUCGGGGUGUAAAGUACUUUCAGCUGGGAGGCGUUACUCGCAGAAGAAGCACCGGCUAACUCCGUGCCAGCCGCCGCGGUAAUAC
rnacentral:rRNA from 1 species